rnacentral:rRNA from 1 species
CUCCUACGGGAGGCAGCAGUGGGGGAUAUUGGACAAUGGGGGAAACCCUGAUCCAGCGAUGCCGCGUGAGGGAAGAAGGUUUUCGGAUUGUAAACCUCUGUGGAGGGGGACGAUAAUGACGGUACCCCUUUAGGAAGCCACGGCUAACUACGUGCCAGCAGCCGCGGUAAUACGUAGGUGGCGAGCGUUGUCCGGAAUUACUGGGUGUAAAGGGAGAGUAGGUGGCAGAGCAAGUCCGAAGUGAAAACCCAAAGCUCAACUAUGGGAAUGCUUUAGAAACUGCUCAGCUAGAGUGCAGGAGAGGC